rnacentral:rRNA from 1 species
UACGUAGGGUGCAAGCGUUAAUCGGAAUUACUGGGCGUAAAGAGUUGCGUAGGCGGCAUUGUAGGCAGGUAGUGAAAUCGUGUGGCUCAACCAUACUCACAUUACCUGAACUGCAAAGCUAGAGGACAAGAGAGGUCACUGGAAUUCCUAGUGUAGGAGUGAAAUCCGUAGAUAUUAGGAGGAACACCGAUGGCGUAGGCAGGUGACUGGCUUGUUCCUGACGCUCAGGCACGAAAGCGUGGGUAGCAAACGGG